rnacentral:rRNA from 1 species
UACGGAGGGGGCUAGCGUUGUUCGGAAUCACUGGGCUUAAAGGGCGCGUAGGCGGGUUAUCAAGUCCGGGGUGAAAGCCUCCAGCUCAACUGGAGAAGUGCCUUGGAUACUGGUAAUCUUGAGGGAGGUAGGGGCAUGCGGAACUUCCGGUGGAGCGGUGAAAUGCGUAGAUAUCGGAAGGAACGCCGGUGGCGAAAGCGGCGUGCUGGACCUCUUCUGACGCUGAGGCGCGAAAGCCAGGGGAGCAAACGGG